CCUGGAGGAGAAUGGGGUGGUGGACAAGGCCGUACAUCCCGGGUAUUGAGGAAAGUCAAGAGGUUCAGAGACCCGAGGAAGCACCACAGUAGGGACCAUUAGCAAAAAGCAAAUCACAGCUGUGACCCUGCCGCACUUUGUCAUCUUGGACCUCUCACCUGCAAAGUGGUGCUCCACUUGUUCACACACCGGAGGAAUCAGAUUAAACUGUCUGGCCAUGGAGUAGGCUUCCUGGGUGAGGCACACAGGAAAGGAAGAGCUUCACUGCUAGACCCCUAGAAUCUACCAGAUCUGCAGACCUCUGCCUGCCCUACCAAGAUCCCCCCAGGUAUCUCCAUGCAGCCAAAAAGGACUGUUAGGGUCUGAGCGAUUGGCGAAGACGAUAUCCACAUAUUCCAGCUGGAGGCGUUCCAGGGAUCCUCGCAAGCCUUAGGAGGGGGUGAGGAGAAAACGUCCUUACUUUCCUGCUGCAUACACUUCAGCGGUGUCAAACAGAUUUAUACCAUGCUCAUAGGCAAUUGUCAGCACAUCUUCUGCUGUCUAGGAAGGUUCCAUCACUUAUACCUCAUCUGAGAUCUGAGAACCAAAUGUGACCCAGGUACCUGCAGGAGAGAAGCCAAAUACAUGAGAACUGUGUGAAGUGGGCCAUGAAAGAAUGCCCCCUUCCCUUAAUUCCUGUUCUGACUCACCCAGGCCAAGACAGGACACUCGAAGACCAGACUUUCCUAGAUUCCUGUAGGAUACAGAAGCAGAGGGAAAGACUGGCUCUUCCAUUAUGAACCUAGGUCAUCAGCCCCCAGCUCCUUUCCUUCCAGACUGAGAAGCCCUCAAGGUGUCUCAGUCCAAAGAAACUAGACCCAGUAGGCCUGUGGGAUUGGGCAGUACUUACCAUAGCAGAUUACCUAAGAAUAUUAUUAAAAGAACAAGUGAACAAUAAAUGGCUGGAUGCCUCUAUUCCCUCUUAUCGUAUUGAA